rnacentral:lncRNA from 1 species
CUUUUUUUUUUUUUUUUUUUUUUAAGGUUUCCUUUUCCGUCUUGCUACCCUUACCUGUAAGUUGUUAUGGUACAAAGGUCCCUUUUUGAGCUAAAUUUAACUACAAAAAAUUAAUAAGGAACCCUAAAAGGUUCUGGUAAAACCAAGAAGAAACAAAAGAUCUAUUUUCAAAUCUUUGAACCCACUUCCAAAAAAAAAAAAAAAAACAAAACUUUGAACCUAAAACUCCCAAACAAGAUAAAACUUCAAAGUCCUCAUUCCUCUUAUUUUCAUAGCACGCAAAACUGCGUAUUUUCCUAGCAAAACCCCGUAUAAUUAGAAAAGGAGUAAGAUUGACUGUGGGGAAACUCGACAUUCCCGAUGCAGGAAGAAAGAAAAUUGAAUGUCUUUUAUGGGUGCUGUGUUCCGUCUGUGGACGGGAACUAAAUUAAAGCCACUAGUCCACAGUCCAUGCACCGAAUCUUAAAGAGGUACCGACAAUUUGCCAUCCAGAUUGACAUUUUCGUGUCUUCAAAAAAAAAAAAAAAGAUUGACAUUUUCGUCUUGAUAAUAUGAAAAUCCCUUGUCAAAGUUCUUGCUAAUUACUCGUUUGGAAAUGGAAAGGAAUCGCGGUAAAACUUUAGUGCAAAUUCAAAGUGUACAUUUUUCACCCUGAAAGGAGUCUAUGGUCAUGAAUAGUUAAUGCUAACAACUAUAUAUAUAUAUAUAUACAUUGAUAGUGUAUAUAUUAUUACCGUUAGAUUCAUGACACAUGUACAAAAGUUAAAGUUCAAAUUCAAAUUUUGUAUAGUUAUCAUUCAUUCAAUACUGAUAAUAUAUACAUCGUUAGUGUAAAAAGUUUAAUCUUAUAUAUAUAUAUAUAAAACAAUGCCAACAACUAGUCUGACUCGAUUUUUAUUUUUGUCAAUGCCAAUUUGGCACGACCUCACUAAGCUCGUAUAACAAAUUAUGAAGUUGUCAAAGAGAAUUUGGUCUUGUUAUUGACUUUUUUGUAAUUCUAUCUUCUGCAUGACUUAAUAAUAUUACCUACUAGCUUAUGUGAUAUGUGCAAUUUUUUUUAAAAGUUUUCUAUAAAGAUAGACAUGGAACAAGGAGAUCACGGAGAUAAACUAGGAAAAGGCCGCCAACCCGCAGAUUUCUUCUAGGGUAAUCAAAGGUAUGUUCAAAGAAAGCUUUCCAUAUGGCAGAAACAGUAUAUGGCCUUUCAUGUGAAACUUGGGUUGGUUCUGAAAUCCAGAGCAAAGUUGACCUCUAUUUUGGCCACCCUGGUGAAAAAACUCUUUGUUGGAGGCCAAAUCUUGAAUAGUUCCACCAUUAUUAAUCACCAACUAUCCCAGGCUGAGUUUGAAGGAUUUAAUGAUCAUUUAAUCAAGAAUCAAUAAAAGAAACAAAAUUGAGCAAUUGUACACUUGAAAUAGUUAAAAAAUCAAGAACAUAGUGAUUUAAUCCGAAAAUAUUUUUAAACCACUUUUAAAGUACCUGUUGGAACAAUAAGACACGAAUGAUCAAUGAAUUAGUUCAUUAAUCUUUUCGAUCUCUAACAAAAUGACAUACGACUGAAGUCAUGCAAAGAGAAUUAAUAGAUUAACUAUAAGCUAAGCUCAAGAUACAAAUUAUUUGUAGCAAAUUUCUUUCCUUGAAAUCAGUUCAAAAAUAGAGAAAAAAAAACAACAAAAACUGGAGUCUAUCUUUUCCUAUAGGUUGGUUGGGUAAAAGGAAGUAGUAAAGCUUAGUACAUGCAUGCACCAUCACUAUACGUUGUCAAUCAUGAAACAGUGGCACUUCAAAGUUCAAAGGGACUGAUCUAAAAGAUUAUUGAUCAGACUGGGAAAGUUAUUUUCUUUUUCCAAUAGUUUCCUUUUAAAUAGAAGACAAUGCAUUGGCAAAUUUCACUUUUCCUUUCUUACAUACCACUCUCCAAAUGCCAAAUUUGAACGCAAACCUGGAAGGUGCCAUUUUUUGUUUUCCUUUUUUUGGCAACUAACAUUACUACUGACCAUGGAAUCCAAUACGCAGCCAGUGGAUUUCUUUGUACCAGCUUUAAGUGCUUUUUCAGACACUUUUAUCUAUAUGCCUCGGUAUGAUGAUGAAACUGUUACAAAAAUAAAACAUUUUGUACCGAACAAUUUUCUUGAACUACGUACUUCCCCGUCUGUGUGUGUUUUUUAUUUUAUUUUUUUUUUUUUUUGGGUUUUGGGAAGAUUUUUUUUUUUUUUCCCUUGAAACAUAUGAUACUAUGAGGAAAUCACAAUGGAUUGGGCGAGAAACAAUGUGAAUGAUUAAUCAGAUGUUUGCCAACCAAAGAUUGUUGCCCUAAACCUGGGCUGGCCCAUUACACAUUUCUCCUUUAAUCCUCAGCCCGCACUCGUGGCACUUUCUAGUCGUACAGAGUUGCUUGCUAGUUCUCCUGGAUGGAUGAAAAUGGAGUCUUCAACAGUACAUGCAAGCAACCCCAAAAAAAAGAAAAAGAACUGAUCUUGAAUCCUAGACUUCCAAUAUAAUUAAUUAUCUAUAUGCUGAAAAUUCACAGAUGAAUAUUUCUACGGGUGCCAAAAAACUAGUAUAUAGAUAAUGCUAUUUACGAGUUCCAAUUUGAGGAUUCCCAAGCAAAGACAUUAUUAGCAUUAGUACGUGGUUUUCUGCAUAUGUGGUCACUUGUUCAGGUAAAUGAUAUCUCCGUGUAACUCGCGACCAAGCCGGGGAACAAAGAGACAGCAUUUCACCUUAAUGGCUUGCAAAAUUAUAUUCAUGGUGGCAAGCAUCUUCUCUUCUACAUCCAUCCAUUUGAGUCUAUUCGAUCUAUGGACACUGAUUGAAGAUGUUCCUCAUAGCCAAGAGUGCAUAACAGUCAUAGAGAGAGGAAGCAUGACUGCAUAUCGAGCACAACUUCAAAUAGCUAGAUCCGUGACAAUAAGAUGCAUGGCUCUCGCUAAGAGAUUUGAUGCAAUGGCAUCUUCUCUUGUAGGGGAAGUGCAUGGACGAAAAAUUAAGUGAUGUCAAAAAUAGUAAUAAGACAGAUGUCCUCGUCACAACUUUCAAUUGUGAAAUAGUGAGAGUUAUGGUGUGAAUAUUAUAUCCAGCAUGUUAAUUGAUUUCAUAUAGACUUGAUCAUACCAAAAUUUUCUUGUCAAUAUAUAAAUGGUGAAUGACAAAUCAUGUGGACUAAUGCAGCCACCUUAAUGAAUUGGAACAUUUCUUUAGAUGGCAAUAUUGACUUUGUUGACAACUAAUUGAUUUUGUAUCAUACAUAGCUCCUUCAUUCACAUACUCUUAAGAGCAGCAGCCCAUCAAGGUGCAGGCGCUUAGCGACAAAAGGUAGAAAUGAUGUCUUGCACAUAACUGAUUCUUAACGUUGGAAAUCCGAGGAUUAAUUACUUUGCAAACUCAAAAAGGUCACCAAAGAUCUUUACGUGUAGAUCUUUACAUGUAUAGCAAGCUGUAGCAAUUUCCUAUUGGACUAAAUGAGAUAUCUAAGGAGGUGGUGCGUAUACUCUUGUCGCUGGGGACAAGUCACAGACCUUCGCUUUAUAUAAGAAAUCAAAUCAAUGUGCGACCACAGCAUAUGAAGGACCAUCAUUGAGGAGAAGGCAAAGGUUGGAUUAGUGUAUAGUGUAUUUGAUGAAGAUGACUUCCUGGACUGCUCUCUGCAGUGUAACAUCUUCCAACUUUAUAUUGUAAAACAUCUCUAUCAAAACCUCCUUUAAUAACGAAAGUAGAAGAGAGAGAGAUCAAUAUGUUCAGUUCUACAGUUAUCCUUUUGUUCCCUGUUUACACCUACACCUCAAUCAUCCAUCCAACCAUAAAUACAUAAAUGGUGAGAGAGAGAGAGAGGGAGAGGGAGAGAGAGAUGAUGAUGAAAGAGGAGGAAGCCCAUAUGACUUGACAAGGGCUCAAAGUUCUCGCUUCUCAGUUGGGAAACGAGCAACGCUGUGAAACAGCAAGAGAGAAAUUUGCUGUUACUUUGGUACACAAUUCUAUGUAUUUUUACCCCCCCAAUUCUCCCUCCUUUACUUAUACCUUGUCUCCUCCGUCCCUAAACAAGCCAAAUUUCAUAUCUUUCAACUCCACGUGUGGAGGGAGAGAACACACAACACAACUCUCUCUGCCUUCAAACUCAUCAGUCAUCACUACUCCUUGCUCUAUUAUCCCUUUCUCACUUGCUCUAUAGCCCUUUCUCGCCUAUUGUCAUACUAAUAUCCCAACAAAAUCCCACAAAAAUCCCAGAUUCUGAACCUUCUCAAAAUCCAUAUAUAAACAAAUAGUUUUGUUUAUUUGCCUAUUUCUUAUGACACAAACCUAAAAUCUGCCUUCCGACGACUUCUAUAAGUUCAUACCCAAUAGCUUAUCUCCAUGCAAAGAAUUCAUUGUUGUUCAAACAUUUCAUCAGGUGAGACUGAUGAGAUUGGCAGUUUGGAGGCUGAUGAUCAAGAUGAUGAUUCUUUAACUCUUCUUUCUCUUGCUCCUCCAGGCCAAAACAACACCUCAAAGAAUCUUCUGGACUGUAGUUUUGAGUACUCCUCAUGCCAACUACCUCAGGAUAACUAUCAACAAUGCCCUAGGACUAGUGCUGAAAAUGGUGUAACAGUGGCACUUCAUAUUGGUCUGCCUACUUCAGAAGCUAGCUCUACUAGUCAUGCUCAUAACUUUGGGGUUCUUCCUGAAGGACAAUACUGGAUUCCUACUCCAGCUCAAAUUCUUGUUGGCCCCACUCAGUUUUCUUGUCCUGUAUGCAACAAAACAUUUAACAGAUACAACAAUAUGCAGGUUAUGGAACUUCUAUGUAAUUCAUUUUCAGUUAUAAUGAGAUCCUAUCAAUGUUCUUCUUUCCCCUUAACUCUUGCAUGCAAAAAUAAACAAAACCUUCAGUAACAAUAGUGCUGCAACUUGCAACUAGUUGGUUGCUACAGUAGUAUGUAGACUUGUUUCGAGAUUUUUGUGGUGAUGAUGAAUAUUUUAUGUGGGCUUAGAUCAAUCUCUUGCAUAACUUUUCAUCCUCAUGAUCCUUCUGUAGAUGCAUAUGUGGGGGCAUGGAUCACAAUACAGAAAAGGGCCAGAAUCUUUAAGAGGGACAAAGCCAGCCUCAUCCAUGCUUAAACUUCCCUGUUACUGUUGUGCUGAGGGAUGCAAGAACAACAUAGAUCAUCCAAGAUCAAGGCCCUUGAAGGAUUUAGGACUCUUCAAACACACUACAAGAGAAAGCAUGGGACAAAGCCAUUUCAGUGCAGAAAAUGUGGGAAGCCAUUUGCGGUUAGAGGAGACUGGAGGACUCAUGAAAAGAAUUGUGGGAAGUUAUGGUUUUGUAUUUGUGGUUCUGAUUUUAAGCAUAAAAGAUCACUCAAAGACCAUAUUAGAGCUUUUGGAGAUGGCCAUGCAGCACAUAGUCAAGACUUGCGUGGAAUUGAAGAAUUAGUAGAAUUAGAAGAAGAUGAUGAAGAAGAAGAGGACAACUACUAAGUAGGGCUAGAUAGACUUAAUUUGUACCCUCGAAAAGUAUUGGGGGUUUUGUUAGUUUGUACCCUAAACAUUAGUAUCUACUAACUUAUGUUUGUUGUCAAUUGACCAGUUUUCGUACAUGAUUUGCACGUUUGUAGUAGGUAAUAAUAAAUUGCACAUUGGCUCUUGUCAAUUUUGACCAAUUUAUGAUAGGAUUUUUUCCUAGUUUUUCAAAACAAAUUGUACACUCAGUAAUAGAUUAGUGUUAAAGGAUUAAAAAACCUACCUUAACGUACAUAAUACACUAGCGUUGUUGAUUUGAGUAUUCAAUGGUCACAAAGAGAAGUUUAGGAGGGUGCAAACUGUGCAAAACUCGAUCUAAUACUGAAAAGGGACAAAGUGGUAUUGAUCAAAAAGAUCAAGAAGUGAUUAAUGUGUGAAGAAUAGAAUAGAAAUGUCGGAUAUGAUUCUGCCAAUGUACAUCCAUUUAUUACAUGUGAACCUUUAGUUGUAGUAGUGGUGGUAGGCUGCUGAAGUCUGAAUAGUGACUAUUUGGCUCUAUGCUUCUGAAUGUGUCUGCGGAUCUAUCAUCUAUGUGUUUGAGGGACUUGAGAGAAGAGAAAGAGAGAAAUAAAAGGGAGAGAAAAAGAUGAGGACAAACAGUAUAAUGAAAGGCACAGUUGCAUGGCAUUAAUGUUCGAAGUGCCAGUUCGAUUAUCUGAUUAAAGUUUGGUUCUUUUCUUUUUUUCCCCACUUUAUUUUUUUGGGCCUUCAGAGUCUGACAGGAGAGUAGAGACUGAGUCUGAGUUUUUUCUGAGGCUUUUGGUCUGAGGGCCUGAGGAGGGCUGAGCUUGGACUAGCACUACUAACACUUUGAUAGAGGCUUUUGUCAGAAGGUAACAAUGGACCACUGGAAGUUUUUCUUUUUGGGGUUUCACCCAAAGUAUUAACUUUCUACCUUUUGGGACGAAACAAACAGAUUUUCGUAAUAUGUUGCCAGAGCCCUGUUUUUGCCUUCUUUAAGUUUAAUAAUGUGGUUGCAUGGGCUCAUAUGCACUCUGAUACUAUAUGGGCUGCUCUCUCAGAUGUAUAUGUCAAGGAUGAGGUCCAUAUCCUGCACUGCAUGCCUUACUUUUCAACAGUUUCACCGUCUUAUCAGUAUUAUCGCUCUACUUUUUUGAUACAUUCAACUUUCUGUUUCCUGUUCUUUCAUUUUUACCCAUUUUUGAGCUGUAAUUGGUAUUCGUUUUUCUCCCUGGUUUGAGACUUAGGCCGCAUAAAACUGGUCCAUUAUCAUUGUUAAAGUUCACUAAUUUUUACUAGUUUCCUUGGCUUGUUAGAACAGCCGUGACAAUUUGCCGUACUUCUGAUUUUAUUUGUUCUUCUUGUUUUUGUGUGCAAGUGUGUCAACUUCAACACACAGACAAAUUCUGGAGUGAGGUUUUCUUAUUGGACAAUAAAUUCAGACUUACUUUUUUCUGAUCAAGAUUUGAUCAGAAUUCUCAGAUGAUGGUUCUAAUCAAAUUAUUUGGUUUGCUGCAGGGAUGCAUGUACUACAGUAUAGUACACAAAAAGUCUGCAUUAUAUGGCCCUUUGGGCUGUCAAGACGCGAACAUUUUAUUGUAAUGAAUAGGAGAAAUGUUUUUGAUCGGAGAAAGAAAAGAAAAAAAGAAAUUACUCUUGUAGGAAACUUUAGCACUGUAGCCUAACAUGUCCAAGAAUUCCUUCUUCUGUUUCAUUCUUUUUUAUACGGUUAGAUUGAAUAGUUGUCAAGCAAAAAGAAUAGUUGUUGGAAUCCCAUCUAAGGAAAAGGGAUGCCUGUAAUCACCUUUAAACAGAAAAAUAUCUGGCGUUUCUCCAACAUUUUAUGAAGCUUAACCAAAGAAGCAACGUGGUGGCCGGGCUUCCUUGUCCCAAGUUUGACCAGUUAAAAAAAAAAUAAAAGGAGAUCUAGAUUAUUUGCUGCAAUUUAAGUCUGAAUUGAUCCCAAGUUGUAUGUAGAAGUGGUCAGGGGUUCUGGGUUUUUAUUUUGAUUAUCGUUUUCUAGCAAUACUCUUGUUCUUUUUAACAAGCCCUUCUGGCAUGAUGGAAAAGAAUAGUUCCAAUGCAAAUUUCUCUCUAUUUUUUCAUGCAUGCAUGUGCGGAUUGCAAGGACAACUCCACCAAGACACCCUCACUUAGAAACAUUUCAUCGAAUGAUAGAAUCUACGAACAUGGCCUCUCUAUCUCUUUUUCUUCGUUUUCAUUUGAGUUAGGCACUCAACUCACAGCUAUACAUACACAUUUUAUUCCCAGUUUUGUCCUAUUACUUCAUGGACUUUCUUCUUUCUUUUUUUUCCCCACUUUUUUUGGUAAGUCAACAAAUUUCUGUUUUGCUGUUCUUCUAGAUGAUAAGGGAGAGAAAAAUAUGACAGUAAUUUCUUCAAAAUCCAAUUCUGACAAUAAAGAUGGGAGACAUAUGGUCAAUGAUGCUGGUAGGAGAGAAAAAAACCAUUCUAAGUAGUACAAACGAUAAACCAGUACAAGCAUUUAUUGGACAGCUCUUGCUGCCAAACUAAUUAAUGCUUGAAUAAUUGUGGCUAUUCCUUGGAUCAACCUCCCUAUCAAUCAGUGAAGUUAGGGAUGGUUGCCUGAGGCUCAGUAGCCUUAGCAGCAGCUGAUGGUUCAGCAGUAGCUGUUGGCAACACUGGCUUAACCACCAACUCAGCUGGCAAAUCCUUAAUUCCCUUUAAAUAAAAUGUAUAGAACAGCUUAAAUGGGAACACAAUCUGCUGCAGCUUCACCACACCCUGCACCCCCUCGAAUACUCCUGAUCCAGCGGUCACAGCCAGAUGUGUGUCCUCGUAAGUCAAAUAUGGCCCCUGGACUGAAUGUGACCGUAGUCACCAAAAUAGAAGCUGUAGAUAGCCUCAUAACGAUCACCUUUCUUCUCAGGAACAUGUUUAUCAGCACACAUAAUCCUGAUGUUAUGCCUAAUCUCUUCUGCAAAUCACCUGUGUAGAGCUUAUUGCUGAAUGGAACUAGAUCACCUAGAGAAUUUGCGUCCUUUUUGCUAAGUCUCAAGUAUGCUGGGCUGCCCCUGUCCCUUUCAUUAAUCUCAUACACAUAUAGUUCUUGAACUUUAGCUGAAUCACAAAGACAUGAUUUUGUGAUGAGCAAUAAUACAUCGUGAAUCAUGAAAUCCAACUAAUUUUAGCUAGUAGUUUCACUGACUACCUCAAAAUUACCGAUAUUACUAUGCCUAGCAAAUCUUUUAUUUCCAAGAACUCGUAUUCAUUUGCUUGGAGAAAGUAGAAUGCAUCUGAUGGACCAUUUUCCUAUGGUUUGACGACAAAAUACUAACUAACUCAUCGAAUCGAAAAAAGAUUUAUUGGUACAGGAAGUACUCACUUGGUUCUGGCUUUGGUUUGCCGAUGUUGAAGAAGAAUGCUUUUGUCGAGCAUCUUUGGAGGGUCUUCUGGCGGAGAAGGCUUGGUGGGUCGUCGAGAUCUGGACAGAUUUAGUUAAAAGUGGAUUUGAAAGCUUAAACGCAAGCUUGUCAUAAUGGAUUCGAUGUUGGAAAGUGAUUCAAGAUUGAAUAGUUUAAGGGAAGAAACUGGUUGAGAGAGCUUGUACUUGCCAUUGAUGAAGUGGAUGCUAAUGGUUAGGGUUGAUCUACGCAAAGUAUAGGUUCAAGAAACAUCCAUCCAGGGGAGCAAUGUGCCUUGAUUUAGAAAGGUAUGUAGCUGGAAGAUUCUGCACCGAUAAAUUAUGCACCAAUAUUAAACGCACGACUUGUAAUUCUGAUUGGUUUAAGGGUACCUAUUGAUGAGACAAUAUAGCUUAAUAGUUUUUUUUUUCUCUUUAAUGUGGAAACACAGGCUGGACUCGUAAAAGUAGUCAAAAGCGGUAGCUGUAGGUGUGGAAAUAAUUAGAAAUUGGAAGAUCAUGGAGGGGGAAAAGUAUGAAUGUAGCAGCAAAAGCCAUAUCAAUCAGAACCUUCACAACAAAAGACAUAUUUGUUAGGUAUCGAUGCUAAAAUCUUGAGCACUGUGCAGAAGCAACAUCAAUGUUUGUUAGGAUCAUCAGAUUAAAAUGUAUAUUAAAGAGCUACAAUUAUUCAAAUGAUUAAAUAGUACAAGAAAAGUUUUCUGUACAUAUAAAUCAUUACUGUUCGUUGCUAUGUAUAACAGCCUUAAGAAUUUCUCACAAAUUGCAAACAUUUCAUAUCCCAAUUUCACCAGCUCUGGCAAUGGCCAUUGACAUGCCGGUAACAAUGCUGUACCUUACUUUGACCAGGCAACAUAUCUGGUGAACGAUGUCCCGAUAAUUGCUUAGCUGCCAGCAAAGUUCUAUAAAUGGUGUUGAUGUGAUCAAAACUGGGAUCAUCACUUAAGGCCUAAUGCUUUUGCCAUCUCAGGGUUGUAUAUGAGAUCCAUGGAUCCCAAGUUAAUGGAGGAGCAGGAGUUUAUUUCCUCCAUUACAUGUAGAAGAAAUGAAGUGUGCAAAAUGAAUCAUGAGUGAUUCAUCUAAGCUUUUGUUAAGAUUUCUGCGCCAGUUUUUGUAAUCAAAAUUGUGUGCUCGAAUUGCGCAGCAGGGCUGCCAUCAGCUGUCAGGGUUGUCCAGUUAUCCUCCAUGUGAUACACUCCGUGUUUCCCAAUGUAAGA